CUGAUGCAGCGACGCCGCGUGAGGGAUGAAGGCCUUCGGGUUGUAAACCUCUUUCAGCAGGGACGAAGCGAAAGUGACGGUACCUGCAGAAGAAGCACCGGCUAACUACGUGCCAGCAGCCGCGGUAAUACGUAGGGUGCGAGCGUUGUCCGGAAUUACUGGGCGUAAAGAGUUCGUAGGCGGUUUGUCACGUCGUCUGUGAAAACCCAUCGCUCAACGAUGGGCCUGCAGGCGAUACGGGCAGACUUGAGUACUGCAGGGGAGACUGGAAUUCCUGGUGUAGCGGUGAAAUGCGCAGAUAUCAGGAGGAACACCGGUGGCGAAGGCGGGUCUCUGGGCAGUAACUGACGCUGAGGAACGAAAGCGUGGGUAGCAAACAGGAUUAGAUACCCUGGUAGUCCACGCCGUAAACGGUGGGCGCUAGGUGUGGGUUCCUUCCACGGGAUCUGUGCCGUAGCUAACGCAUUAAGCGCCCCGCCUGGGGAGUACGGCCGCAAGGCUAAAACUCAAAGGAAUUGACGGGGGCCCGCACAAGCGGCGGAGCAUGUGGAUUAAUUCGAUGCAACGCGAAGAACCUUACCUGGGUUUGACAUAUACUGGAAAGCUGCAGAGAUGUAGCCCCCCUUGUGGCCGG
rnacentral:rRNA from 1 species